rnacentral:sRNA from 13 species
GUAAUAUCUGGCCUCACUCACCCCAGACCCCGCUGUAUAUCCCAGGCGAGCCACACACACAUCUAGACACAUAGACACAUGCUAUAUAGGGAAACUACUGCUAUUUAGUUUGAACACUAAACUGGAUAAACUUAACAAUACAACUGACGUAGCUACCAGAGUUGUAGUUAAAACCAAAAGUCAACAGAAUUUGUGUGGACGUCUAAAGUGCUCCUAGUUGUCAACACUUACCUACCGUGGGACUAAAUAUUUCAUCUUUUGUCUUCUUCUAGUUCUCCAGGUUUCACCAUGAAUGCCCUAGUGUUGACACUUUUCUUGUGUGCCGUCCUUGGAAUAUCCACAUCCUACUGGUUAA